rnacentral:tmRNA from 1 species
GGGGAUGAUUGGCUUCGAUGGGAUUAAGCACGUUGAAAAUCGGGCCGAGCUGCGGUUUAGCUCGUUAAACCAGCCGCACACGAAAUAAGUGCAAACUUAUCUUCAAAAGCAAAAGGCAUUGCUUACUCCUUCGGGGGCGGCAACCUCUUUGCGCCUGCUUUUGCCUAACAUAAAAAAUUAGUCAGAAGCCAUCGGCCUCCGUACGCUCGUAAGGGAGAUCACCGGUGUUAUAUUUCCGAGCUUGGUUUCUCUGAUGUUUGCUACGAGAAGCGACACAUAGCAGACAAAACUUUUUUUGACGCCGCAAGGUGCCAAAUACGCCCGUAAAAACAUUUUCAAUGCAAUUCAUUCCAGACGGGGGUUCAAUUCCCCCCAUCUCCAUGA